AGCUUGGGAGCAAACAAGCAGAGAAAUCUUCUCUAUGCCUAGCCCUGUUGGAUAAUAUUCAAGCUGCUAUAUUUUCUUUUCAGAGCAAAUUUAAGCAUUCUUUGCAAAAGGUGGUGUCCUGGAGUGCUGAACUGGGGAAACAGAAAGACAGAUGGAGGAAAUCAAAUGAAUCAGUAAAAAGGACCUGAAUGUCAAAUAGGCUGUGUCCUGCACUUUGGAAUAUUGCCUCCCUGCAGAGCACUGUGGAGGAAGGCACAUGGAGCUCCAUGUAGAAGCACGUUCGGGACACAGCAGCAGAAAUUUGAAAUAAAUGGACCACUAGAGGGCAUCUGCUCGUUCUCACAGCUGGAAUGGAAUCUUGUUCACCCCUGCAGAAU